GAGAUGCAGAAGGGGAGGUUUUACUGGGGUUGUGCUCAGAUAUCGUCUACAAAGCCUGGUUUUCGCAUUUCAGAUGCAGGCGUCCGGAAGUAGAUAUUUUACUCCAAAUAUGAAAAUGCCCACAACUAUAUUCCGCACACAAAUAUCCAGAAUCCAUUCACACCCUUCCGAAUGAAACCAUCGCAGUCCACAACUACUACCUUCC
rnacentral:lncRNA from 1 species